rnacentral:rRNA from 1 species
AUGGGGUGCGUGGGGAGGAAGAGGAAGGGCAGGGGCCAGGCCAGGAGGUUCCGGGACUGCGUCAGCCUCGUGCACCACGCGCGCGACGCCACGCGCUGCGGCAGGCCGCUUGCGCACCGCGCGCUCGCCGCCGCCGUCUGCCGUGUGCUCGGCUGGGACGUCAAGCGGCUGCCCAGCAUCGUCAUCGACCCCUGCGGCACGCUCGGCCAGGCGCUGCUCGCCAGGGAGGGGGCGAGUGCCGCCGCUUCCACCGCCCAGGAGGCAAAGGUUCUCAGCCCAUUCGUUGCUGCAGGUCGCUCACUGACGAGACUUUGUGCUGUAACUUAA